rnacentral:rRNA from 1 species
AUGAACGCUGGCGGCGUGCCUAAUCCAUGCAAGUCGAGCGAACAGACGUGGAGCUUGCUCCUCUGACGUUAGCGGCGGACGGGUGAGUAACACGUGGAUAACCUACCUAUAAGACUGGGAUAACUUCGGGAAACCGGAGCUAAUACCGGAUAAUAUAUUGAACCGCAUGGUUCAAUAGUGAAAGACGGUUUUGCUGUCACUUAUAGAUGGAUCCGCGCCGCAUUAGCUAGUUGGUAAGGUAACGGCUUACCAAGGCAACGAUGCGUAGCCGACCUGAGAGGGUGAUCGGCCACACUGGAACUGAGACACGGUCCAGACUCCUACGGGAGGCAGCAGUAGGGAAUCUUCCGCAAUGGGCGAAAGCCUGACGGAGCAACGCCGCGUGAGUGAUGAAGGUCUUCGGAUCGUAAAACUCUGUUAUUAGGGAAGAACAAAUGUGUAAGUAACUAUGCACGUCUUGACGGUACCUAAUCAGAAAGCCACGGCUAACUACGUG